GACGAACGCUGGCGGCGUGCUUAACACAUGCAAGUCGAACGGAAAGGCGCUGCUUUUGUGGGGUGCUCGAGUGGCGAAGGGGUGAGUAACACGUGAGUAAGCUGCCCAUGACUUUGGGAUAACUUCAGGAAACUGGGGCUAAUACCGGAUAGGAGAUCGUGCUGCAGGGUGGGGGUGGGAAAGUUUGGGCGGAUGGGGAUGGACUCGCGGCUAACCAGCUGGUGGGUGGGGUACUGGCUUACCAACGCAUUGGCGGCUAGCCGGCCUGGGAGGGUGACCAGCCACAUUGGUACUGAGAUACGGCCCAGUCUCCUACGGUAGGCAGCAGUGGGGAGUAUUGCACAAUGGGCGGAAGCCUGAUGCAGCAGCGCCGCGUGCGGGAUGACGGCCUUCUGGUUGUAAACCGCUUUCGCCUGUGACGAAGCGUUUUUGACGGUAAUAGGUAAAGAAGCACCGGCUAACUACGUG
rnacentral:rRNA from 1 species